rnacentral:rRNA from 1 species
CACGUAGGAGACUAGCGUUAUUCGGAUUUACUGGGCGUAAAGCGCGUGUAGGCGGUUCGGUAAGUUGGAUGUGAAAGCUCCUGGCUUAACUGGGAGAGGUCGUUCAAAACUACCGGACUUGAGAGUGGUAGAGGGAGUUGGAAUUCCGGGUGUAGUGGUAAAAUGCGUAGAUAUCCGGAAGAACACCAGUGGCGAAAGCGGACUCCUGGACCAUUUCUGACGCUCAGACGCGAAAGCUAGGGUAGCGAACGGGAUUAGAAACCCUAGUAGU